rnacentral:tRNA from 2 species
GGGCUUGUAGCUCAGUGGAUAGAGCGUCUGCCUCCGGAGCAGAAGGUCGUGAGUUCGAAUCUCAUCAAGCCCAC